UCGCUCCUACCGAUUGAAUGGUCCGGUGAAGUGUUCGGAUCGCGGCGACGUGGGCGGUCUGCUGCCCGCGACGUCGCGAGAAGUCCACUGAACCUUAUCAUUUAGAGGAAGGAGAAGUCGUAACAAGGUUWCCGUAGGUGAACCUGCAGAAGGAUCA
rnacentral:rRNA from 1 species